CAAUAAAAAUGGUCAUAACUCCUAAAAUAUUGAUUUUAGGAGAAAUUUAUAAGAUACCACAAUUGUAGCUUAGGAAAUUUCCUAUAUAAAACACUCCUACUGUUUA